rnacentral:rRNA from 1 species
AUUGAACGCUGGCGGCAGGCCUAACACAUGCAAGUCGAACGGCAACAUUUCUAGCUUGCUAGAAGAUGACGAGUGGCGGACGGGUGAGUAAUGCUUGGGAACUUGCCUUUGCGAGGGGGAUAACAGUUGGAAACGACUGCUAAUACCGCAUAAUGUCUUCGGACCAAACGGGGCUUAGGCUCCGGCGCAAAGAGAGGCCCAAGUGAGAUUAGCUAGUUGGUAAGGUAAAGGCUUACCAAGGCAACGAUCUCUAGCUGUUCUGAGAGGAAGAUCAGCCACACUGGGACUGAGACACGGCCCAGACUCCUACGGGAGGCAGCAGUGGGGAAUAUUGCACAAUGGGGGAAACCCUGAUGCAGCCAUGCCGCGUGUGUGAAGAAGGCCUUCGGGUUGUAAAGCACUUUCAGUUGUGAGGAAAAGUUAGUAGUUAAUACCUGCUAGCCGUGACGUUAACAACAGAAGAAGCACCGGCUAACUCCGUG